CAGAAAAGUGAAGAAGUGUAGAAAAUUGACAGACAAACAUGAUUAAAUUUGAAGAUUUUUAUAUAUAAAAGUAAUUUUAAAUCAAUAAAAAAGGUGUGAAUAUGGAUUCCGUUGUGUUAUGGGAGGAAAACACAAAAAAUGUACGAGUUGAGCGGAAAAUUAUUAGAGACAAGUCUAAUGUGAUCAGUCUUAGUCAAAAAGGAAGGUUUAAAUGAUAAAGGGUAAUGUGAUUCUUUAAAUUUGUUUGUACUUCUACUCGUAAAUAGUUUCAUGCAAAACUUUCGCUUAAGCAAGGAAUCAUUCAAAUAUGUGUUGGAUAGCAUAAGUAGUGAGCUAAAAACCCCACGCAGGUCCACAGGAAUACCCGAAAUUGUGAAAUUAGCGGCAACUUUAAAAUUUUUUUUCGCAGGGAAGGUAUCAAACGCAAAUUGGACAAGAUCUCCAUACAGGCCUAGCUCAACAAACUGUUUCGCGUUGUGUGUUUGAAGUUUGUAAAGCAAUUGAGAAAGUGCUGUGUCCAAAACACAUAACUUUUGCAAUGUCUUCAGAGGAGAAAAAAUGAAGAGAAACCAGUUUUUUACUCAGUGUCUUUAAUUCCAGGAGUAAUUGGAGUGGUGGAUGGUACUCACAUCCAAAUGAUAGCAUUUAUAUUUCAAUAGGAAAUUAAAGCAUAGUAUAAUCGCUUUGGUGAUAUGUGAUCAUAAUAUGAUGAUAAAAGCCGUUAACCGUCGGUUUACUGGGGCGUGUCAUGAUUCACAUGUGUGGAAUUUGUCAAGCGAGCGCCAAUAUUUACAAACCAACUAUAUGAAUGGAGAAAUAGGAAUUCGCAUUCUUGCGACUCUGGAUAUCCGCUUGAGCUAUGGAUUUUAACUCCAUACAGAAAUGCUGCUGAAAACUCUGCUGAAAAUUACUACAACUACAAAUUUUCAAAAGCCAGAUCCCUUAUCGAUCGAGUAUUUGGAGUGUUAAGAGCACGGUUCCGAUGCCUUUUAGCUGCUAGAGAACUACAUUAUGCCCCAGAAAAAGUGGUGCAAAUUUAGAACGUAUGUUGUGCUCUUCAUAAUAUUUGCACUCUUUUUAAUGUAGAAUCACCUGCAAAUAUAGCAAUAGAAGUUGAAGAAGUCGAUGCUAGUUAUACUGAAACAAUAGGAAAUGCGAAUGAAACCAAUAUUGCUAAACGUUGUAGAGAUCAAAUAAAAAACAGCAUGAUUACUUUAUAAACAUGUAACACUAUUUAAUAAAGUAGACUUUU